rnacentral:RNase_MRP_RNA from 15 species
GAAGCACGGACUUCGCAGCGCACAGACAGGGAGAGAACUCCCAGGAAGAUGUCUCCCAAGCAAAUUGUUGUGAGGAAAGUCCCCGUGCCUUUGGGCAGAGAGUGCCAGCAGGAGACUGCGAGAUGUCGUAAUGCUCAUUGUCAGCGACGCUUUCAUGCCGAGGUGCAGUGGCAAGAUGGCAUCCUUCACAGCAGCACAGCCAUGUCGUGAGUGUUCGAGCGAGGACGCCAACUGAACGGGGCUCAUUCUC